UACGAAGGGGGCUAGCGUUGUUCGGAAUUACUGGGCGUAAAGCGCACGUAGGCGGAUUGUUAAGUCAGAGGUGAAAUCCCGGAGCUCAACUUCGGAACUGCCUUUGAUACUGGCAAUCUAGAGUCCGGAAGAGGUUAGUGGAAUUCCCAGUGUAGAGGUGAAAUUCGUAGAUAUUGGGAAGAACACCAGUGGCGAAGGCGGCUAACUGGGCCGGUACUGACGCUGAGGUGCGAAAGCGUGGGGAGCAAACAGG
rnacentral:rRNA from 1 species